AUGCAUCUCGGACAGACCUGGGGCAGUUUGUGUCUGUUGCUAAGGUUUCCACUAUAGGUGCAAGAAAAAGAAGGUCCUUGCACUUUCUGUCUGUCUGGUUGUGGGAGCCAAGAUCAAAUGGGGGAAUAUAGGA
rnacentral:snoRNA from 1 species